ACGCCGCUCUCGCUCACCGUAUGGUGGUGCGACGAUGGCUCGCUUAUUAGCUAUGGCGGCAGAAAAGGGGUGUUUUGCACCGACGGCUUCGACGAAGCCUCGGUCAAGAUACUCGCUCGCUAUCUGGGAGUUGUUUGGAACAUACGCACCAUUGUUGCGCCCGUCGGGCCUAAACGAGACGGCACAAAGGAGCAGUACUGGCGGAUUUGGAUCCGGUCCACGGAGGAAUUGCAAAAAUUUCUUCGGAUCAUCCUGCCCCAUGUACCGCUCUGCAUGAUCCAUAAAACAAUACUCCUCUACAAAGACCCUCAAUUUCAACAACGCUGGAUAUCUGAAAUAAUCCGUCUGACGCACUUUUCGCGUGAUGCCGUAAUGGCGGCAUACGAAAAGAAAAGAAUCAGAUGGAAAGGUUUCUAGAUAAAGAUAUAGUCCGGACUCUGCAGUAAUGCAGAGAAUGAGGCAGAAAUGCCCUCAUCAGUUAUUCCAAGAAUAACUCGUAACAAAUUCAACCCCGGUAGUCUACGCCCUAAACGAUCCUGACUGGCUUUCCGGAGUAUCGACCCUCUGGGAGGCGAAGCUAACGCGUUAAGUCAGGCGCCUGGGUAGUACGGCCGCAAGGCUAAAACUCAAAGGAAUAGACGGGGGCUUGCACAAGCGGUGGAGCGUGUGGCUCAAUUCGUCGCUAAACGAAGAACCUUACCAAGGCUAGAAAUCCUACUGCACGCCUAUCGAAAGAUAGGAAGCCUUCGAGGGUGUAGGACAGGUGAUGCAUGGCUGUCGUCAGUUCGUGGUUUGAACCGUUCCCUUCAGUGGGGUAACGAACGCAACCCUCGUUGCCUGUUAUAUUUGUCAGGCGAGACUGCCCCCUCACGGGGGAGGAAGGUGAGGAUGACGCCAAGUCAGCAUGUCCCUCUGAUGCCUUGGGCUGCACACGCGCUACAAUCGCCACUACAGCGGGGCGCGACGUCGUAAGACUGAGCAAAUCCUUCAAAAGUGGCGCCAGUUCGGAUUGGGGUCUGCAACUCGACCCCAUGAAGCCGGAAUCGCUAGUAAUCGCGGGUCAGCUAUACCGCGGUGAAUACGUUCUCAAGCCUUGUACUCACCGCCCGUCAACUCAGGGAAGUUGGGAGUGCCCGAAGCUCAUCCUUGCGAUGGUCCAAGGCAAACUCAAUGACAAAGAGUAAGU
rnacentral:rRNA from 1 species